rfam:Legionella londiniensis strain ATCC 49505 Llon_ctg001, whole genome shotgun sequence.
GUGGCUGGACGUUCAGUCGGGAAAUAGCUGUUCUGGAGUCGUUACCAUUCGGUAACCGAUCAUUUCA